AAAACAUACCUUAUUGCUUAUGCAGACGUUUCGGUUGUUUUCGCGUUAAGAAGAUUUCCCGCUUGGUUUGAGUCGUUUGGUGCGGUCUGACAGAACUUCAGAUCACGAUUUUCAGCAUCGAGCAUUUUUUGGAGGACACAUUUUUCAGGUAAAUUUUCGGGAUAAUGUUAUAUAUUCUUAUUUUUUCCACGUAUGAUGGCAUGUUCUGUUGAUUUUGUCUAAUUCGUUGUUCCCCUGCUUAAAGCCCACGAAAAGUACUCCUGUCAGACUGGCUGUUGUACGUUACUGACCGAUUCGGAGGAGCCUUCAGAGGUUCAGAAUGGAGUUGGGGAAAUUGUCUACCGCUCAAUUAAUAACGGAGCUAAGGCAGUUUGGUAUAGAAGUCUCUGAAGAGGAGAGGAAAAAAUUUGAGGACAAUGAUGUGGAUGGAGAGACUGUUGAUGUUGGUCUGACGGAGUCAAUGGUUUCAUUCCUGUUUGAGGGAUCUUGUAAGAAGCAGGCAAAAUUCCUUAGAUUUGUCCAACAGAUGAAGGAAACAGUGAUAACGCUUGAACCUGUGCCUGCAGAAUGCCUUUUGCAGUCUUCAGCUGGAGCAAGGAAUUGAUUUCAAAGUAGCACUUCUCAUGUUGCCAGCCUUGUUCAGAGAGAAGCUUGAACACUUCAUUGUGCUUGGGGAGAGUGAACCAUCUUCACCAUAUCCAACUGUUCAAGUACAGGAAGCCACUGACUGGAAAAAUGUGCUUACAAGAAGAGUCACUGCAGUCGUCAGAGCUGAUGGGAUAGAGAUCUGCAGGGCUAGCGGUGUGGAUGAAGGGGCUCUUGCUGCAUUUUGUGCCUAUUUCGUCUUCAAUUUGACAUAUCCAACUCACUUGAAGAACACCCUGGUGUUUCUUCAGCGGUAUGUUUUGAAACUUACUGUGGAUGGUGACAAGCCUCUACCUACCCCAGUUACCAGAGCAAUCAACCUUUUACAGUAACAUCUGCAAAAAUGCCUCGCCCGUUCUGUUGUCCUAAAUGCUCUCGGAGAACAUUCGCAAUUGUCAAAUUAAUCCAACACAUUGGUCUCACUCAUGCUCAUGAGGCAAAAAGUCUUAAUGACUGUCAGAGAACAUUUUCAAAGCACGAGUCCUUUAGAUGUCAUGUUUACCGAAAGCAUAAACAUACGGUGUUACAACGGACUACGAAAGAUGUUCCUCUGCCUCUGUUUGAGGACGUUGAGGAAGAAUGACCUAAUGAUAGUGUUGCAUUUUCUGCCCCCCCAAACAUGAAGGAGCUGUUUCAGCAAUUUAGAGAGAACCUAUGUGCCUUCGUUCUGAAAUGCAGAGAAAAAAAUCAUCUGCCUCAGUCAGUGCAGCAAGAAAUUUUGGAUGAUGUUAAUUUAUUAUUUAGUUUUUUUUAAAGAGAACGAUGAUGCAUUUCUUGCAUAUUAUCUACAGAAAAAUGGAUUUGAUCUUGCUGCAUGUCUGGAACUUAAAGAAGUUCUACAGUCCCCUGACUUUUUUUCAGAGGCCUCAAGACUUGUUAGGUCUCCACACGUUCAAAGAGUUUUGCAAAUCAAAAUUUCAGAUGACUGAACCUGUGCAGUACACACUAAGAGACUCAAGUGGUAACAAGACUGGAAGUUACUCUUACGUUCCUAUUUGUGAGGCUUUAAGGAAAUACUGUCCACAGAUACCACUUGGAGUGUGUAAAGGCAAAUCCUGACACGAAAGCCAUUUAUGGUGUUACCAGAGGCUGUCCUUUUGACAAACUGGACUACUUUGAUGUCACAACCUCACUUCCACUGGAUGUGAUGCAUGACUUUUUAGAAGGUGUAGUUCCUCUAGUGUUGCGCCUUGUUUUAAGUAAAGCUCACAGAGAAAAAAUCAUAACCAUACAAGAGUUUAACGAGGAGCUGAGAAAACUUACUUUUGGACAGAAUGAUAAAAAAAAACAAGCCUGUUCCUCUUUCUGAAAAACUUCUGCACAACUGGAAUGUAGUAGGGUCUGCCUCACAGAAAUGGUGUUUAUUUCGCCUAUUGCCCUUUUUGGUAGCACACAGAAUCCCUGAUUGUCACUGAAUUGCCACUCUUGAUCUGUUAGUUUCUGAGUUUUUGUCAUGUAUAGUUGAAGAGUUUGGUGAUGUUCUUACUCCAAAAUGUCAUUAUUUAAUCCAUUACUCUUGUUUGAUGUUAUGCUAUGGGCCUUUGCGUUCUUUACGGUGUUUGAGGUUUGAAGGCAAACAUCAAUAUUUCAAACAGGUCGCUAGCACUUGUAAAAAUUUAAUUAACAUUUCAUCCACUUUAAGUAACCAACAUCAGCAUAGACAAUGUUGGGAAUUGUCUUCUGUUAAUAUGUUGGGGGAAUAUGAGAAAGUUGCUGGAUGUUGUGUGAGCACACCAUUUCAGUCUUUACCUUCAGCUCUACAGCAUUCAAUAAUUGUGAACAAGAAGUACAGCCAUGUCAAUUUUGAAGGCAAACAGCUUCGAGUAACAGAAGUAGAGAUUAAUGAUGUCAAAUAUUGUGUUAAAGAUGCGUUUACUGUGGGUCACCUGCAUGCAGAAGAAGUUCCAUUGUUUUUUCAGAUUAAGUACAUUCUUAACAUGGACACAGACUGCUUAUUGUGUGGCAAGCUGUUAAUUCCUGAAUCAUUUUGUCAACAUUAUUAUUCAUACUGUGUGAAAUAUGAGAAUGAAUGGACUGUCCUCUCACCAGGUGAGGAGGUUGAUUACCAGGCACUAGAUACCUUCAGUAUUGAUGACAAAUUAUUUAUUAGCACUAGGUAUUCUUGCUGAAGAACAACUGCCCUAUGCUGUAAACCUCAAUGUGCAGCACAUGAUAUAGCCUGUUUAAUUAGCUGUAUAUCAAUGUAUGACAGUUCUUUUAUUUUGCUGAUUUGUUUUGUAAGGAUUCUACAGUAUAGACAAUUUCUUGUAUUCCUGUUAAAAAAAUUUAAAGGCGUUACUGUUUAAAAUACUUUUUAUACCUCUGAUUAUAUUUGUUGAGUAAUAUCUGAUGAGCUUUUAUGUGCGAUGAACAAUUAAUUGUCUUGACUCACACCUACUGUUGUGAGAUGAUGUAAUGCAUUCAAGUAGUUCUCUUUGUAAAAGAAAGUUUAUAAAUAAAAUUGCAUAUUUGUAAAAUCUACAUAUUUGUAAGCCAGUUUCUUUAAGAUAUUUUUUAGCGCCCCAUAGGAUCAAAACUGCUUUGUCAUUGGGGCGUACCCUGGGAAUUCUUUUAAUAAGGUACAAUUUUGUGCUUUCAUUGCAGUAUGCACAAUUGUUCCUUGGGGUACAAAAUUGCCCCUUAAAUGGUACAAAGUUAUAAAGUACAAUUUUGUACCUUGCAUUCAGGGUACCACCCCAGUGACGGCCACUUGUACCCUAAAAGGUACAAUUUUGUACUUUUUUUUUUUUCUGACAGUGUACAUAGCUGAGAGAUUCUUCUAAAAAAAAGUGAUAUCGUGUAGAUACAGGGGCAAUAGUUAUAGGGCAAAAUUUGUCAACUAAUGCAAAUAAUUUUGAGAUGGCAAGAUGCUAUUUUGGGUAACAAAUUAAGAAAAUGCUUACCCAAAAUAACUACUUGAGAAAAAGGGGCACGAUUUCCUGUUCAUUUCAAACACAUUUGGCAUUAUAUAACAUCUCAAGUAUUCUAUUAACAAAUUAAGCUCCAUUGUGAAUGGAUCAGUCAAUGUGAGCACACUUUGAACAUUUUUCAGAACAAAUCUAUUCUCCCCACUUAAGAAAAACAAUGUGUUUUAUAGGGGCCUUUAGCCUCGGCAACAGGCUUUUUACCCAAAAUACCAUAUUUUCACUUAUUGGACUGUUAUUAAAAAAAGUUUUGAUUUAAAGGUGCACUCGGUAUCCCCCCCCCACCCCCCCCCCAAUAAAACAGUUUUACUCCUAAAGAAAUCAAUUGUAAUGUUGAAACAUAUGCAUAAAAUCAUGACCGCUGACAUGAGAUGAGAACUUUAUUCAUAUUGUUAUCCUUAUAAAAGCUGUUUUGUUCCACAUGGAGGAGGGGCACCCUCAUGGGAGCUGCCAUUUUUUUACUACUCGCUUAAUCUCAGUAACUGUCUUGUUAUUAGACACUUUCACUCAUGGAUUAAAUUAAUCAUGGCUGAUUGUGAAUAGUACAUUUCUGAAAAUUAAUGAUUUUGAAUGUUGCUGCAUCCACACCACUAGGUGUCACUGUAAGUCCAAGAUAACAUGAGCAAAAAGUUACUGAGUGCACCUUUAAUGACCUUGAACAAAACUGAAAAUGAUCAAUAAGUAUUUUGUCUCGGGUGUUUGUUGAGGUUUGGGGUGGAGUUGGGGAUUGGGAGGGGUGGUAG